CAUUGUGUUUGUCCGCACUUUCUGAGAAGCAGUGACGAGUUGAGUGUUUCGCUUUGACAGUGUUCGCGAAAUAACGUCUAUCAGGCAGUCUACUUAAGCGCUAUCAAGGAUGCGCUGAUGAAUUGCAGAGAGGAUGAAGUGCCCUAGCUGUGGAAACACAGACUUGCUUCCUAAGUUUAAGUGUUGUCCAGAAUGCGGUUCUCCUCUUUCACAUGCUCAAAAUAUUCCGCGCAAGAUUGAGCGUGGUGAACAUGGAGUCGAAACAACACUACUGCAGCAAAGUGCUGCAUCGACAAGUGAUUACGGUGAUCUUGGACUAGAUAGCAGGUCAAUUCAAGGGAAUAGCCAUCAGCAGAACGUUAAAACCACAGAGAGACAACAACCACAAUCCUUAACUAGCCCACAACCCGGAACUAUAUCACAGCCUAACAAGAACUGUGGUUCUGUUACUCAUCAAGGCGAUGAAACGCCAAAUGAAGAAAGAACUGGGUUAUCGGAAAGAGAACAGCGUCCGGAAUAUGCUUCCUCCAACUCGUCUGAUUCCAUCCUCAGCGGAGCUGUUGACUCGAAAGAGACAGUUGUGACUGGUAGUAUCCGCGGCCCGGAAACACCAACCGAAGAAAGAGCUGAAUCAGCGAUAAACGAUCAGCACCAAGAAGGCACUCCAUCCACCUUGUCUCGUCAAGGUCCUGAGAAAGCUGUGGAAUGCAAAGAAGCAGCUGUGACGAAUACAACCAACGAAACCAAUGGUGAUCAGAAGGAUUUGUCUUGUGCUGCACCAAAUACUCCUUCUCCGCCUCUAGAAGAGCAGAAAGAGCCCAUUGUCAACCAGGACCUUAAUGGCGGUAACACAACAACUGACACUGUUGUGGUGGUUGCUGAAACAGUAAGAGGCCCGGCUGUUCUUGAGGCCGGAGGCGAGUUCCCCAAUCCCCCUGAAGUAGGGAGUACGUAUAGUGCGGGGCAAGAAACAACGUCUCGGGAAUUAUCAGAGAAGGAGGGAAACGCAAGUGAAAGUGCCUCGCGAACAACAAUGGCAUUUACAGAGCCGCAACAAAAAGCACCGGAGACUCAAGUUCUUUUAGGUUCAAGCUCUGAAAUCAAGGAUAGCAAAACAGAUGCUCAAGAUUCGGGUAAAGAAUCGAUAGGUCCAGUCACUAGACAGGCUGCAUUCAGAGGAAACCAGAAUCAGUCCAGUGCUCCACCAUCAUCAGUAUCUGGACAAAAAGCCAAAAUUGUGUCAGAGCAUCCUCUAGGCGGUCCUGGAAAUGGUGACAGUGAUAAAGCAAGUGGAGAGGGUAAUAGCGAUGAAGGUGGAACUUGGUAUAGAAAGAGUGAUACCCCAACAGAAGAAACAUUAGGGGGUCAAAAAGGCGAGAGGAAGAAGGAAGAAAAGAAGAAAAGCAAUGCGGAGCAACAAGCCUCCACAACACUGCCACCUCCAAGCCUCCAACAGGUUAAACCAGAAUUUGGAGUCACUGUGGUGUUCCACGUUUUGCUUGCAUCGAAUUUUAAAAUGACGGAGGAAAGUUUGUUUAUUCGUGCAAAUGGUGUGGAUUUAGGGGACUUUGACCUGAAUUGUGUUGAUAUGAUUGCAGCAGAAAGUGAUGAAAGCCAAGACAAAGACAAACUGACGCUUUUUCGUGGUCAGUUCACAGUAAGUCUUGAUCGGGCUCGCAACGGCACUUUCUACAAAUACGUGGUGGUCAAAAAAGGAAAGGUUCACUGGGAGCAAUUACCCGAGUUUCCACCAAAGUACGGCCAGAAGAGUAUCGUCGACCGGUUUCUUAAAAUCCCCGACAAGCAUAUUAAACAGGGUGCUUCGUGGAAUCAGUUUGACGGAGUGGCGUACGUCUACGGCGACAAAAGCAUGUUUUCCAGAAUGUGGGAUUCAGUCUUCUCUAGGGACAAGACGGUUGAGUAUCGCACAAAGGCGUUGCUAUGUUUCCUACCAAAGUGGAGGGGUUUUCUUGUUAACGAGACAACUGAAAACAUGGAUGCUACAGAGGCGAUAGUGAAACUUUACAAUGUUGUGAAUUGCCUCUCAAACGUUUGGAUACAAGAAAAGGGGCACCAUCGGGAAAUGCAACCCAUUAAUUUUGAUGUGCGAAAGGCAUUAACUGGCCUUUUGAGACCAAAGAUGGAGAAUAACAUUGCCCUCUUGACUGAAUGUAAGGUGGGGUCAACUGCACACGUCUCUGCAGUAGUUUCUUCGCUUGCCAUCAUAGUGCUGAUGAAAAAGUACUCUAUAGCAUUAAAAAGAGAGGAGGUAAAGUUAUUGCUGAGCUGCUUAUCACUUGAAGCUGAUCCAACUGAGAAGAGGUGUUCUGCUUAUGAAGUCGUACUGGCCGAAUUUAGCAACGGGUUAAGAAACUUCGCCGCCAGUGCAAUUGAAAGCCUUUGUAAUCAGUUAAUGAAGGACGCUUGGACAUCCAAUCCUGAAUGGCUUUUGGCUGUACCACUAUUACAUUUCUUACGAGGAGACUCGAAACCCUUUGAAGAGCCUAAGUUCAGAGGAUCGCCUGAAAGCUUGGCUUGGUGGGGAGCCCAGAAGCUCGAUAUAAGAGAUUUUCAACGAUCUACCAAACAGGAUUUUUCGGAUGUGUGGCCUCUUCUGGCGUCAGCCUUUGAAGUUGACCGCUUGUUGAAAAGAACCUUUCUACACGCAGUUCCUGUUUGGCGGCUACGCGAUAUCGUUUCAACAAGAAUGUUCCACGUUGCAGAUCUGUGCGUCGCUUUGAUCGAAUUCUUACCUCGUGGUUUUUUGUACAAGGAAGAGGAAAGUAGUAUCGAGCAGUGUCUUCAAGCCAUGAUCAACCUGUUGGACAAUGGGAAUGAAACAAACAGUUCCAAAGCGGACGUCGUAGAAUUUACAGUUUCUUCAAGUUUGAAGUUGGCCGAGGUUUGCCUAGAAAAGCUUUCUUUUCGAGAAAAUAUUGAUGUCAUCUGUCUGGCAAUCAAGCUGCUAUUCUCAAGCAUUCAACAGUGGCAAAGUGAUCCAUUAGACGGUGAAAACAAUGACAAGGUAAACAAGACUGACGUUGAAAGACUGAAGAAGAACUGCGUACGUGAAAUUUCGGAAAAACUCGUCAGCAAGCUCAAACGGAUAUUUUAUUCCGACAUGCCAGACAAUUACCAGAGUGAUGCCCUUAAAAGGGAACUGCAGCUCUGGAGUGUGCUUUUUAAAGUCUCGGAUGGCACUCAAGGAUUUGAAGAGUACCGAAGAUGUUUAACAGAGCGGUUUGUGUGCCGAACAAAAAGGAUAAGAGAAACCUGCCUCGUUGAGAUUUUUUGUGAAGUUGACCUGGAGAUAUACGACAGAGCCGUUGGGGAAUCCAUCAGCAAACUUGCGUUUGAAGCCGUGGAAAAGAUAAUACAGUCAAGACAGGGUGCAGAUGCUGACCAUGCUUUCAGGUCUUUAAGAAAUUCUAGUCAGCGAGGUGACGCAGGAGCAGUAAAGUACGGCCAACUUUUGUCAAUGUUGCUUACAAAAUCCUGGCCUAAAACAUCUCAGAGCCAGAGAAGGUUUGGCUUGCACCCUUGUACUGUGGAGUUUCUUCUCACCUGGAACCCGAUGGCUGGAUAUUUCCAUUUCUUUGGGGAUGAGUCUGGAAGAGGGAGUAUUUUAACAGAUGAAGGCCAAGAAACGCUGUCAAUGGCUCAGUCAGUACUUACGGCUCUUGUUGAAAGCAUUUCAAAUGCGUCAGUGACGGUUGAAAUCUUAGGUCUUUUACAGAAACACAGAAAGAAAUUCUUGGAACUGUUAUCAAAGAUAACUGUCCCUUUCGCCAAAGAAGGAACUGAGGCGAACACGAGGCAAGAAGGUGAAAAAAUCCUAGAUCAGCGAAUUGGAGAAAUCGAGGAAUUCCAAGCUGUAAAAGAAAAAGUGGCUUCCUUCGUCAACAUGUGUGGUUUGAUUGGGCCAGUCAAUAUUGGCAGUAUUAAGGAAAAAUCGCGUCAAGAUGUCUCCCGUUACCAAAUACGUGAGUUGUGCGAGCAUAAAGAUGACAAGCAAAUCGAGGUCACGUUCUUUAAACUACCCUCGGUGGCUAAAGAAGUUAUUUCGCCACUUCAUCUCUUGCAAAAAAGUUUAACUUUCCAAGAUCUUUGGACACGGUAUGGAAAAAAAGUGCAAGCAGCUAGAAAGAAUGACGAGACUAAGAAACCACAUCUCAGCAUCUCCGAAGUCGUUGAAAAUAUCUGGAAACCAGCUUUUCAAGAUUGGAACCAGCAUGCGGCUAGUACCAUGGACGGAACGAUACCCCUCGGAAAUGUGGACAAGCUCUUUGGCACUUACAAGAACAGGAAAAAAGAGCUUGAACGAGAGCUGUUGAGCAUGUUUGAACUGAGCCAAACUCAACCUGCCAGUAGAGCAAAGGAGCUGCAGACAACAGCUACUGAACGCGCCAAGCAAAUACAGCGGUACCAGCAACUUGGUCAGUAUGCGAGUGCCGCAGACACAAUCUGGAAAUUUAAGGAGUCAAUGGGUUUCACUGGUGACUUCAAAGUUAUCGAUGAUCUGCGUAAUCAGGUUUCUUAAUUUAUGUUUUCCACCUUUUUCAUUCAGACUCUCUGCUUUUUAUCACGCUCAAGAUACGAGAGCGGGUUUCUUUGCCUGGUGUUGGGACGUUUUAUUGUGAAUAUGUUCCUCGUCUUUGCUUUGAAAUAUUAUAUAUAAAAUGUUCUUAUUCGCGUCUUUGAUCUUGUACGUCGGACACAUGCAUUUACGUCCGAAUAUUCCUGUUUUCAUUUUAAUUUAAAUUUUACGAUUUAGUUGGCAAAAGAGUUCAAACAAAAGUCCCUAAACAGCAUUGGAAAGAGGUUUUCUGAGGCUGGUCGUGCACUUGAGUGUUUGGAUAUGGAGAAAGCAAAUUGCUUCAGGGCAGUGGUAAAGAGCAGUCCACUGGUGGAGUGGCUGCGUACUACCAUAAAAUCAACUCAAGAGCUUAAGGUUCUUGUUGACUUGGCCUUGAUCUCAGCUGGUGAAAGCGACAUGGAAACUGCCCGCAUUUCCAGUCUACAUACCAGCUGCCUAGGUUUCGCUCCUUUGAUCUUUGACCUCAGAGAAACUGAAGGACAAAGAGUGAACUUUGACGACCUGGUGAAAGCUUGUGAUCCCGUGUGGAAAGCUGUAGAGACAGAUCACAGUUUACCCCAAAAACUAUGUGACACUAGCAGGCAUCUGGAAUGGCUUAAGACCGUCAAGGAAUCACAUGGUUCGGUUGCUAUGACGUCCU
rnacentral:misc_RNA from 1 species